rnacentral:rRNA from 1 species
UAACGAAUCUUCCGCAAUGCACGCAAGUGUGACGGAGCGACGCCGCGUGUGGGACGAAGUCCUUCGGGAUGUAAACCACUGUCAGGGGUUAGAAAGUUCUGAUCGACCCCAGAGGAAGGCACGGCUAACUCUGUGCCAGCAGCCGCGGUAAGACAGAGGUGCCGAGCGUUAGGCGGAAUCACUGGGCUUAAAGCGCGUGUAGGCGGACGUCUAAGUGCCUUGUGAAAUCCCACGGCUCAACCGUGGAACGGCUGGGCAUACUGGGCGUCUUGAGCCACCUAGGGGCGAGCGGAACAAACGGUGGAGCGGUGAAAUGCGUAGAUAUCGUUUGGAACGCCAAUGGUGAAAACAGCUCGCUGGGGGUGUGCUGACGCUGAGACGCGAAAGCCAGGGGAGCGAACGGGAUUAGAUACCCCGGUAGUCC